GACGAACGCUGGCGGUGUGCUUAACACAUGCAAGUCGAACGGUAAGGCCCUUUCGGGGGUACACGAGUGGCGAACGGGUGAGUAACACGUGAGUAACCUGCCCUCAUCUCUGGGAUAACAGUCGGAAACGGUUGCUAAUACUGGAUAUGAGCUUGCAAGGCAUCUUGUGGGUUGGAAAGAUUUUUUUUGGUUGGGGAUGGACUCGCGGCCUAUCAGCUUGUUGGUGAGGUAGUGGCUCACCAAGGCUUCGACGGGUAGCCGGCCUGAGAGGGCGAUCGGCCACAUUGGGACUGAGAUACGGCCCAAACUCCUACGGGAGGCAGCAGUGGGGAAUAUUGCACAAUGGACGGAAGUCUGAUGCAGCAACGCCGCGUGCGGGAUGACGGCCUUCGGGUUGUAAACCGCUUUCAAUUGUGACGAAGCUUUUUUGUGACGGUAGCAGUAGAAGAAGCACCGGCUAACUACGUG
rnacentral:rRNA from 1 species